UACGUAGGGGGCAAGCGUUGUCCGGAAUCAUUGGGCGUAAAGAGCAUGUAGGUGGCUCGGUAAGUCCGCUGUGAAAGUCCAGGGCUCAACCCUGGAAUGCCGGUGGAAACUGUCGAGCUAGAGUCCGGAAGAGGCGAGUGGAAUUCCUGGUGUAGCGGUGAAAUGCGCAGAUAUCAGGAGGAACACCAAUGGCGAAGGCAGCUCGCUGGGACGGUACUGACACUGAGACGCGAAAGCGUGGGGAGCAAACAGG
rnacentral:rRNA from 1 species